rnacentral:rRNA from 1 species
UAGGGAAUAUUGGACAAUGGGGGCAACCCCGAUCCAGCCAUGCCGCGUGAGUGAAGAAGGCCCUCGGGUUGUAAAGCUCUUUUGUCCGGGAAGAAAAGCAUUCGGUGAAUACCCGGAUGUUCUGACGGUACCGGAAGAAUAAGCACCGGCUAACUUCGUGCCAGCAGCCGCGGUAAUACGAAGGGUGCAAGCGUUACUCGGAAUUACUGGGCGUAAAGCGUGCGUAGGUGGUUGUUUAAGUCUGAUGUGAAAGCCCUGGGCUCAACCUGGGAAUGGCAUUGGAAACUGGGCAGCUAGAGUGCGGUAGAGGGUAGUGGAAUUCCCGGUGUAGCAGUGAAAUGCGUAGAGAUCGGGAGGAACAUCUGUGGCGAAGGCGACUGCCUGGACCAGCACUGACACUGAGGCACGAAAGCGUGGGGAGCAAACA